AGUCUGUGUCCACCAUGGCCUGGACUCCUCUCCUCCUCGUGCUCCUGUCCCAUUGCACAGGUGCCCUCUCCCAGCCUUUGCUGACGCAGCCGCCCUCCCUGUCUGCAUCCCCGGGAGCAUCAGCCAGACUCCCCUGCACCCUGAGAAGUGACCUCGAUCUUGGUUACUAUCCGAUACAUUGGUUCCAGCAGAAGCCAGGGAGCCCUCCCCGGUAUCUCCUGAGUUUCAAGUCAGACUCAAAUAAACACCAGGGCUCCGGAGUCCCCAGCCGCUACUCUGGAUCCAAAGAUGCCUCAGCCCAUGCAGGGAUCCUGCACAUCUCUGGGCUGCAGGCUGAGGACGAGGCUGACUAUUACUGUCUGAUAUGGCACGAUGACUCUAAUGCUCACACAGUGCUCCAGACCCAGGGGGAAGUGAGACAAAAACCUCCUGUCUGCUCUCUGGACCUGAUGCAGUCCCCCCUGCUGGUGGCCCUGACAAGCUCAGCUCAGGGGGAACUGAUCUGCAUCUUUUUCUCCUUGGUUCCCCACUGGAGCUUCUCAGCUCCUUGCUGA